UACGUAGGGCGCAAGCGUUGUCCGGAAUUAUUGGGCGUAAAGAGCUUGUAGGCGGUUUGUCGCGUCUGCUGUGAAAAUCCGAGGCUCAACCUCGGACUUGCAGUGGGUACGGGCAGACUAGAGUGUGGUAGGGGAGACUGGAAUUCCUGGUGUAGCGGUGGAAUGCGCAGAUAUCAGGAGGAACACCGAUGGCGAAGGCAGGUCUCUGGGCCAUUACUGACACUGAGAAGCGAAAGCAUGGGGAGCGAACAGG
rnacentral:rRNA from 1 species